rnacentral:rRNA from 1 species
AUUGAACGCUGGCGGCAGGCCUAACACAUGCAAGUCGAACGAGUGGCGGACGGGUGAGUAAUGUCUGGGAAACUGCCUGAUGGAUGGGGAUAACUACUGGAAACGGUAGAUAAUACCGCAUACCAUCGGAUGUGCCCAGAGGGGAUUAGCUAGUUGGUGGGGUAAAGGCUCACCUAGGCGACGCUCCCUAGCUGGUCUGAGAGGAUGACCAGCCACACUGGAACUGAUACACGGGCCAGACUCCUACGGGAGGCAGCAUUGGGGAAUAUUGCACAAGGGGCGCAAGCCGGAUGCAGCCAUGCCGCGUGGAUGAAGAAGGCCUUCGGGUUGUAAAGUACUUUCAGCGGGGAGGCGUUACCCGCAGAAGAAGCACCGGCUAACUCCGUGCCAGCAGCCGCGGUAAUUC